GCAAGGAUUAAUUCCGUAUUUGUUGCAAGAUAACUUGUGCGGCCAGACACCAUGCUAUAAUAAAAUUUAUUUUGAGAUUUUUCAAGUUCGUGUCAUUUAUUCGAAUUUGUUAAAAUUUUGAACUAAA